GAUGAACGCUAGCUACAGGCUUAACACAUGCAAGUCGAGGGGCAGCGAGAAGGAAGCUUGCUUUCUUUGUCGGCGACCGGCGCACGGGUGAGUAACGCGUAUCCAACCUUCCCCCUAGUAGGGGAUAGCCCGGCGAAAGUCGGAUUAAUACCCUAUGUUGUUCAUUGAAGGCAUCUGAUUUGAACCAAAGGUUUUCCGCUAAGGGAUGGGGAUGCGUCUGAUUAGCUUGUCGGCGGGGUAACGGCCCACCGAGGCAACGAUCAGUAGGGGUUCUGAGAGGAAGGUCCCCCACAUUGGUACUGAGACACGGACCAAACUCC
rnacentral:rRNA from 1 species